UGAAGGGCAUUCUCGGCUUCUACUACAAGAGUGACACUGAUGUCCAGGAAGACUCUGAACUGCAGCUGUGGAUUUCAGACAUUUUUGAACAUGGAUUCCUUUCCCAGGAAGACACAGGAAUUCCACAGAGCUUCACCAAUGUGGCUGAGUUGGUCAAGUUUGUCACCAUGGUGAUCUUCACUUGCUCGGGACAGCACUCAGCUGUGAACACUGGACAGUAUGAUUAUGGAGGCUGGAUGCCAAACACUCCCACCAGCCUGCAGCUUCCUCCACCAACCAAAAAGGGAACAACGAGCGAGGCCACGAUACUGCAGACAUUACCUGACAUGGGCACAACAGCCAAUGGAAUGGCCGCCAUAUGGUUACUCAGCCAGCCAUCUGCUGA